GUGGGGAAUCUUAGACAAUGGGGGAAACCCUGAUCUAGCCAUGCCGCGUGAUCGAUGAAGGCCUUAGGGUUGUAAAGAUCUUUCAGGUGGGAAGAUAAUGACUGUACCACCAGAAGAAGCCCCGGCUAACUCCGUGCCAGCAGCCGCGGUAAUACGGAGGGGGCUAGCGUUGUUCGGAAUUACUGGGCGUAAAGCGCACGUAGGCGGAUUGGAUAGUUGGGGGUGAAAUCCCGGGGGUCAACCACGGAACUGCCUUCAAAACUCCCAGUCUUGAGUUCGAGAGAGGUGAGAGAGCUUCCGAGUGUAGAGGUGAGAUUCGUAGAUAUUAGGAGGAACAACAGUGGCGAAGGCGGCUCACUGGCUCGAUACUGACGCUGAGGUGCGAAAGCGUGGGGAGCAAACAGGAUUAGAUACCCGUGUAGUCC
rnacentral:rRNA from 1 species